UCCCGCUCCUUAUCCCCUCCCCUCCUCACCCCCCUCCCCUUCCCCUCGCAUCCUUGGAAGCAACAAUUAAGCAGCUCUGGGAUAAAACACACAGCCCGCGGGAGCACGGGGGCAUUGCUUCAAGAGAUGGCAAGGCAGGCAGCUGCACCCCUCCUCCCCGGAGUCCUCCUCCUCCUCUCCAUCCUCCCGGCUACUCAGCAAGGAGGGGUCCCUGGUGCUAUCCCCGGAGGAGUCCCCGGAGCAGGCUUCUUCCCAGGUGCUGGACUCGGAGGUUUGGGAGCAGG